rnacentral:rRNA from 1 species
CCUACGGGAGGCAGCAGUGGGGAAUUUUCCGCAAUGGGCGAAAGCCUGACGGAGCAAUACCGCGUGAGGGAGGAAGGCUCUUGGGUUGUAAACCUCUUUUCUCAGGGAAGAACACAAUGACGGUACCUGAGGAAUCAGCAUCGGCUAACUCCGUGCCAGCAGCCGCGGUAAUACGGAGGAUGCAAGCGUUAUCCGGAAUGAUUGGGCGUAAAGCGUCCGCAGGUGGCUGUGUAAGUCUGCUGUCAAAGAGCAAAGCUCAACUUUGUAAAGGCAGUGGAAACUACACGGCUAGAGUGCGUUCGGGGCAGAGGGAAUUCCUGGUGUAGCGGUGAAAUGCGUAGAGAUCAGGAAGAACACCGGUGGCGAAGGCGCUCUGCUAGGCCGCAACUGACACUGAGGGACGAAAGCUAGGGGAGCAAACAGGAUUAGAUACCCUAGUAGUC